UACGUAGGGGGCAAGCGUUGUCCGGAUUCAUUGGGCGUAAAGAGCGUGUAGGCGGCCAGGUAGGUCGGUUGUGAAAACUGGAGGCUCAACCUUCAGAGGUCGACCGAAACCAUCUGGCUAGAGUCCGGGAGAGGAGAGUGGAAUUCCUGGUGUAGCGGUGAAAUGCGCAGAUAUCAGGAAGAACACCCGUGGCGAAAGCGGCUCUCUGGAACGGUACUGACACUGAGACGCGAAAGCGUGGGGAGCGAACAGG
rnacentral:rRNA from 1 species